UACGUAGGGUGCAAGCGUUAAUCGGAAUUACUGGGCGUAAAGCGUGCGCAGGCGGCGCCGCAAGUCAGGCGUGAAAUCCCCGAGCUUAACUUGGGAAUGGCGCUUGAAACUACGGUGCUGGGAGUGUGGCAGAGGGAGGUGGAAUUCCACGUGUAGCGGUGAAAUGCGUAGAGAUGUGGAGGAACACCGAUGGCGAAGGCAGCCUCCUGGGCCAACACUGACGCUCAUGCACGAAAGCGUGGGGAGCAAACAGG
rnacentral:rRNA from 1 species